rnacentral:rRNA from 1 species
CAGCAGCCGCGGUAAUACGGAGGGUGCGAGCGUUAAUCGGAAUUACUGGGCGUAAGGCGCACGCAGGCGGUUUGUUAAGUCAGAUGCGAAAUCCCCGAGCUUAACUUGGGAACUGCAUUUGAAACUGGCAAGCUAGAGUCUUGUAGAGGGGGGUAGAAUUCCAGGUGUAGCGGUGAAAUGCGUAGAGAUCUGGAGGAAUACCGGUGGCGAAGGCGGCCCCCUGGACAAAGACUGACGCUCAGGUGCGAAAGCGUGGGGAGCAAACAGGAUUAGAUACCCGUGUAGUCCCUGUCUCUUAUAC